rnacentral:rRNA from 1 species
UCCGGUUGAUCCUGCCGGACCUAACUGCUAUCAGAGUGGGAUUAAGCCAUGCGAGUUGAACGUCUUCUAACUGUGGAAGGCGUGGCAAACGGCUCAGUAACACGUAGCUAACCUACCUUAAAGACGAAGAUAACCCCGGGAAACUGGGACUAAUACUCGAUAGAUCAUGACACCUGGAACGGGUUAUGAUCCAAAGGGGUAGAUGAAUAUGUUCAUCUAUUUGCUUUAAGAUGGGGCUGCGACCGAUCAUGGUUGUUGGUGGGGUAAUGGCCCACCAAGCCUAUAACCGGUACGGGCUUUGAGAGGAGGAGCCCGGAGAUGGACACUGAGAAAAGGGUCUAGGUCCUACGGGGCGCAGCAGGCGCGAAAACUUCGCAAUGUGCGCAAGCACGACGAGGUUACUCUGAGUGUCACCCGCUGAGGGUGACUUUUACUAGGCGUAAAUAAUCUAGGGAAUAAGGGGAGGGCAAGUCUGGUGUCAGCCGCCGCGGUAAUACCAGCUCCCCGAGUGGUUAGGAUGUUUAUUGGGCCUAAAGCAUCCGUAGCCGGUCUUGUAGGUCUUCUGUUAAAUCCACCAGCUCAACUGUUGGGCCGCAGAAGAUACCGCAGGACUAGGAGGCGGGAGAGGUGGACGGUACUUUAUGGGUAGGGGUAAAAUCUUUUGAUCCAUAGAAGACCACCAGUGGCGAAGGCGGUCCACCAGAACGCGCUCGACGGUGAGGGAUGAAAGCUGGGGGAGCGAACCGGAUUAGAUACCCGGGUAGUCCCAGCUGUAAACGAUGCGAGCUAGGUGAUGGGGUGGCUGCGAGCCAUCCCAGUGCCCCAGGGAAGCCGUUAAGCUCGCCGCCUGGGAAGUACGACCGCAAGGUUGAAACUUAAAGGAAUUGGCGGGGGAGCACCACAAGGGGUGAAGCCUGCGGUUCAAUUGGAGCAACGCCGGGAACCUUACCAGGGGAGACAGCAGGAUGAGAGUCAAGCUGAAGACUUUACUAGACAAGCUGAGAGGAGGUGCAUGGCCGUCGCCAGCUCGUGCCGUGAGGCGUCCUGUUAAGUCAGGUAACGAGCGAGACCCUUGCCGCUAAUUGCUACCUUCAUUCGAAAGAAUGAGGGGGCUAGUUAACGGGACUGCUGCCGCUAAGGCGGAGGAAGGAAGGGGCCACGGCAGGUCAGUAUGCCCCGAAACCCUUGGGCCACACGCGGGCUGCAAUGGUAGGUACAAUGGGCUCCGACCUCGAAAGAGGAAGGCAAUCCUCAAACCCUACCCCAGUUGUGAUUGAGGGCUGCAACCCGCCCUCAUGAAUAUGGAAUCCCUAGUAAUCGCGUGUCAUCACCGCGCGGUGAAUACGUCCCUGCUCCUUGCACACACCGCCCGUCGCUUCACCCGAGUUAAGUUUAGGCGAGGUGGCGCCUAAUUGACGUCGUCGAACCUAAGCUUGACAAGGGGGGAGAA